rnacentral:rRNA from 1 species
AGCUCCAAUAGCGUAUAUUUAAGUUGUUGCAGUUAAAAAGCUCGUAGUUGGAUUUCGGGUGGGCUGCGGCGGUCUCCGAACGGUAGUACUGCCGACGCCCGCCUUGCUGCCGGGGACGCGCUCCUUGCUUCAUUGUCGGGGACGCGGAAUCGGCGACGUUACUUUGAGUAAAUUGGAGUGUUCAAAGCAAGCCUACGCUCUGAACAUAAUAGCAUGGGAUAACACGACAGGACUCUGGCCUAUCGUGUUGGUCUGUAGGACCAGAGUAAUGAUUAAGAGGGACAGUCGGGGGCAUUCGUAUUCCGUUGUCAGAGGUGAAAUUCUUGGAUUUACGGAAGACGAACAUCUGCGAAAGCAUUUGCCAAGGAUGUUUUCA